GCCAGGGAUCGAAUCCUUGCCCUCAUGGACGUUACGUUGGGCUCUUAACCCACUAAGCCACAACGGGAACGCCUCAAUUUAAUUUUACUUUCAUUGUGGAUAAGAUCCACGCCGAAUAAACCUUAUCACCUUCCAUUUCUAAGGGUGCUGUGGUCAAAGAUUAAACCUAGCUGUGCGUUAAAGUUGUAGAAACAGAUUUAUUCGGUAACUCCUUCGGGAGGGGAAACAGCUGAGCCUGAGAUGAGCGGGCAUUUUCAAGGGAGACCAGGAGCGGGGAGAAGCAGCGGCUGGGCCCAGGCAGAGUCGGGGAAGUGAAUCGAUACAAAAACCUGGAGAGGGCUGGUCCGUGUAAACACCGCUGGGUCAGCUGCGUCCACGAACCGGCUUUGCUCAGCCGGCCGUCUCCCCUCCCACAGAGCCUGGGGGGCUGAGGCUCUGCUUUUCUUGACCAUGAUGCUUAAAAGGACCGUCUCUGACGUCUUCCAGAAAGAUCAUUCUCCACUGUAGCAGGAACGCGCAGUCUCCAAAGGACAGAGGAAAGCGUUACAGUCAAAGCUCGAUGGUACAGGAACACCGAGGAAUCUGGGGAGGAUCGCUUUCCAGUAAUAGCUGCCACAUCCUGAACUGAAAAAGGAUUCCUGUACAAACUAUUUAAUGAGGUCCUGCAAAUAAACAAGGAGAAGGUUAAAAGGGUAAAUGAGCUAUCUCAAUGAGGGGAUAUCAUUUCUUCCUACUAGAUGAGCCGAAAGGAAAAGCGUGCCUAGUCGAAGGGUUGGGAACGGUGUGGAAAGAGGCCGUCUCCCCACUGCGGGUCGAGUGGAAGAGCAAGUUGGCAGCAUCCAGCAAAAGGAAAUGUACGCCCCGUCUGUGUCCCGGUAACUCCCCUUCUCGGUGGCGAAUCUGGGACAGGUGCACAAGGAGACUUUACACGUGCAGCCACAGCAGUCUUAUUUGUAAGAGUGAAAACAAAACGUAAGCAACUCUGAUGCUCGUGAACAGGAGAACAGAUAAGUAAUUGUUUCCAAUCCAUGCAGUGGGUUACUAGACAACAAAUUAAGAUGUAUGAGCUCGAAUUACAUGUGUCAGCAUGGAUACAACUCAGAAUCCUAAUUUCCUUUCUUUUAAUUUAUUUUUUGUCUUUUUUUAGAGCCGCACCCGUGGCAUAGGGAGGUUCCC